GGAAGGCUGUGAGAGAGGAGAUAUGCAAGCUGAGACCUAGAAGAGGAGAAGAGACAGACUGUCAUAGAGUGAAGUGCAGGCAUUCCAACCAGGAAACAGUGAGGACAGAUGGCCCCGGACGGGAAACAACCAUGACCUUUGAGAAUCCAGGAAGAGGCCAGCAGGCCUGAAGCAGGAUGAGGGAAGAGAGAGGGUGGGGAAACAGCCAGGGCCUUGUAGGCAUAGGAAGGGUCUGGGUUGUAAUUCAAGUGCAGUAGGGGCUGUGGAAGGACUGCAUGUCAAAGAUCAGCAAUUGUCCACAAGUAUCCAUUCUCCCCUUUGUCGUCAUUAAUAAAAUCUAAAAAGUUGAGCUGGGCAUGUGCCUGCCUAGAAUAAGAGCUUUCCCAGCCUCUUUUGCAGGUGUGGUCAUGUGACUUAAGCUCCGGCUGCUAGCAUCUAAGCCGAGGUGAUGUAAGCAACUUCUGAGUAGUGACCCCACCUCUCCUUGCUGUCAUUUGUGGUAUAGAUUAAAUGGCUGGAACCCCAGCACCAUCUCAGACUCUAAAGUGAUCUUGGAAAUAAAAACCAGGAUUGGAGGUGCCGUGAUCUAGACAGAGCCUGGAUUCCUGACUCCGCUGAACUGCCAUAGUCUCAGAUCUGCUGUGAUUGUUCCUUUUCACAAACCACAAUGACUCUGGAGAACCUGGCUGUAAACACCAGCACUGCCACCAGCUAAGGAUCUGUGAUCAGGAGUGCCAUGUCACGGUGACAGGGCUGGGUCCUGGGGACAGUGGAAAAUAAAGAAGACCCAGUUGGUACCUGCCAUCCUGGAACUUGGAGUCCAGUGAGGACAAUGGAUGAUCCACAAGCAGUUCACACAAAACAUUUCUAUUGAAUUGAUGAAAGCUAUGAUGAACUCAGCCAAUGCAAAAACAAGAUACAAAGGCUGGAGAAGAGCUAAGGGAAAGGAGCGGCUUUGCCAGGUGAGCUGGAGAGAGUGGGGGAUUACGGGGAAACAAAUGCAGUCAAAAGGGAAACAGCAAGAGAAAGUCCACUCAGCUGCCCCAAAAUAUGCUCUCACCUCGGACCCAUACUGGUCCUUCAAAUGCAUUUUUGUGUGAAGGGGUAUUGGGUGCACCCAGAAGAUGCACAGCAGGGCAGUCUUGUGUAUUUGCCUGUGUGGGAGAAAGAGAGAGUAUCUUAAUAGAAAGC
rnacentral:lncRNA from 1 species